UACGUAAGUGGCAAGCGUUGUCCGGAUUUAUUGGGUUUAAAGGGUGCGUAGGCGGUCUAUUAAGUCAGUUGUGAAAUACGGCAGCUCAACUGUCGAGGUGCAAUUGAUACUGAUGGACUUGAGUACUGAUGAGGUAAGCGGAAUGGACGGUGUAGCGGUGAAAUGCUUAGAUAUCGUCCAGAACACCGAUAGCGAAGGCAGCUUACUAAGGAGUAACUGACGCUGAGGCACGAAAGUGUGGGGAUCAAACAGG
rnacentral:rRNA from 1 species